CCUACGGGUGGCUGCAGUGGGGAAUAUUGGACAAUGGGGGGAACCCUGAUCCAGCCAUGCCGCGUGUGUGAAGAAGGCCCUCGGGUUGUAAAGCACUUUCAGUGAGGAAGAACGCCUGGUGGUUAAUACCCAUCAGGAAAGACAUCACUCACAGAAGAAGCACCGGCUAACUCCGUGCCAGCAGCCGCGGUAAUACGGAGGGUGCGAGCGUUAAUCGGAAUUACUGGGCGUAAAGCGCGCGUAGGUGGCUUGAUAAGCCGGUUGUGAAAGCCCCGGGCUCAACCUGGGAACGGCAUCCGGAACUGUCAAGCUAGAGUGCAGGAGAGGAAGGUAGAAUCCCCGGUGUAGCGGUGAAAUGCGUAGAGAUCGGGAGGAAUACCAGUGGCGAAGGCGGCCUUCUGGACUGACACUGACACUGAGGUGCGAAAGCGUGGGUAGCAAACAGGAUUAGAUACCCCUGUAGUC
rnacentral:rRNA from 1 species